GGAUGGAGAGGGAAAGUAUGAAAAAUCAAUUGAGAGAAUUGGGUAUGCAGGAAUAUACUUUGGAAAAUAUUUUAAGAUUAAUGAAGAGGAAUUGUAUAAAAGUAUUGUUUGGCUUUUUGAGAGAUACAGGGUUAUAUGAUAGUAUAUAGAGUAGAAAGAAGGUGUGAAUGAGUGAGUGUUUGGAUAUUUUUGUUUUGAUUCAUUAACUGGAUCAGAAGAGGGCGGUAAUGCACCAAGUUGUGGAUGCCAACCGCCGUAAAACCCCAAGAAGAAGAAGAAGAAGAAGAGUACAAUCAUAACACAACCAAUGGGUGUGUUCGAAACCACCUACUUGCUUCCUACUCUUACUAACUAUGACGUCAAAUUGAGUAAGCAGAACGUAGUAAGCGAGUUUUAGGUAAGCGAGUAGUAUCCGAAUGUCUUCUACUUCCGGAAAGAUUUUGUGUAAGCAUCGCUAGCUUACUAGACGUACUCAACUGCCCCAGAAAGCACUGCGUCUAUUCAAAAGAACAUUGGAAGCAAUGGCGCUAAACGGGGAGCCGCAGCAGCAGAGCCCACAGCCAUACCGAUGAAAUUGCUGACAAUUGAAGAUGCCAGACAUUUGUGCCGCCUACGGAUGCGUUAAUCUGCGAACUCUCGAAACGAGAACCCGUGGGAUCACCUUUCACCUGUUUCCCAAAGCCAGAGCGAUGCGGAUAAAGUGGGAAAUUGCCCUAAGAAGGGACGGUUUUGCUGCCUCUGACACGACACUGCUCUGCAGCGACCACUUCAGGAGGGAGGACUUUGACAGGAUGGGGUAGACUGUCCGGCUUAAAGAUGGUGUUGUGCCAACACUUUUCAACUUUCCAGCUCAUCUU